GAGUUUGAUCCUGGCUCAGGAUGAACGCUGGCGGCGUGCUUAACACAUGCAAGUCGAACGGGAAUGCCACGCUGAUGCGAUUUCGGUCAAAUCAUGUGGCAUUCGAGUGGCGGACGGGUGAGUAACGCGUGGGUAACCUGCCUUACACAGGGGGAUAACACCUGGAAACAGGUGCUAAUACCGCAUAAGCGCACAGGGCCGCAUGGCCCGGUGUGAAAAACUCCGGUGGUGUAAGAUGGACCCGCGUCUGAUUAGCUUGUUGGCGGGGUAGGGGCCCACCAAGGCGACGAUCAGUAGCCGGCCUGAGAGGGUGGACGGCCACAUUGGGACUGAGACACGGCCCAAACUCCUACGGGAGGCAGCAGUGGGGGAUAUUGGACAAUGGGGGAAACCCUGAUCCAGCGACGCCGCGUGAGUGAAGAAGUAUUUCGGUAUGUGAAGCUCUGUCAGCAGGGAAGAAAGAAAUGACGGUACCUGACCAAGAAGCCCCGGCUAACUACGUGCCAGCAGCCGCGGUAAUACGUAGGGGGC
rnacentral:rRNA from 1 species